rnacentral:rRNA from 1 species
AUACGGAGGGUGCAAGCGUUACUCGGAAUCACUGGGCGUAAAGCGCGCGCAGGCGGUCUUUUAAGUUGGAUGUGAAAGCCUACGGCUCAACCGUAGAACUGCAUCCAAAACUAUUGGACUAGAGUGUGGGAGAGGAAGAUGGAAUUAGUUGUGUAGGGGUAAAAUCCGUAGAGAUAACUAGGAAUACCAAAAGCGAAGGCAAUCUUCUGGAACACUACUGACGCUGAGGCGCGAAAGCGUGGGGAGCAAACAGGAUUAGAAACCCCGGUAGUCC